AACACGACUCUCGGCAACGGAUAUCUCGGCUCUCGCAUCGAUGAAGAACGUAGCGAAAUGCGAUACCUGGUGUGAAUUGCAGAAUCCCGCGAACCAUCGAGUCUUUGAACGCAAGUUGCGCCCGAGGCCAUCCGGCCGAGGGCACGCCUGCCUGGGCGUCACGC
rnacentral:rRNA from 1 species